GACAGAGGGUGCAAACGUUGUUCGGAAUUACUGGGCGUAAAGCGCGUGUAGGCUGUUCGGAAAGUCGGGUGUGAAAGCCCCGGGCUCAACCCGGGAAGUGCACUCGAAACUCCCGAACUGGAGUCCUGGAGAGGAAGGCGGAAUUCUCGGUGUAGAGGUGAAAUUCGUAGAUAUCGAGAGGAACAUCGGUGGCGAAGGCGGCCUUCUGGGACAGUGACUGACGCUGAGACGCGAAAGCGUGGGGAGCAAACAGG
rnacentral:rRNA from 1 species